UACGUAGGGGGUCAGCGUUGUUCGGAAUUACUGGGCGUAAAGGGCUCGUAGGCGGCCAACUAAGUCAUACGUGAAAUCCCUCGGCUUAACCGGGGAACUGCGUCUGAUACUGGAUGGCUUGAGAUUGGGAGAGGGAUGCGGAAUUCCAGGUGUAGCGGUGAAAUGCGUAGAUAUCUGGAGGAAUACCGGUGGCGAAGGCGGCAUCCUGGACCGACAUUGACGCUGAACGGCGAAAGCUAGGGGAGCAAACGGG
rnacentral:rRNA from 1 species